UAAUUCCGUACAGCUUUUAAU
rnacentral:piRNA from 1 species